AUGGUGGUCUGCUUUUCCGGGUUUGUUCCGGGUUGUAGGUGGAAUCGGCAGGCCAAGUAACACCCGCAGAUUCUCCCCUGGUUGGUAGGGAGUGGAUUUUAAAGGGCAAAGGUAUCAGCAAAGAGGCAAAGUCCACUACCAUUCGCGAACCUCCGGCGAUUCCGUUUUCCGGUUCAUAACCUGGACGUGCGCGAGAACAUGACCGCCAGACGAUGGCUCGCGGGCACGUUUGCAAGAAAAGUGCGGAAAAACGACCCCCGUUCCGGCAGCUGCCAUCAGCGGUUCCGGCCGGUAAGCCGUAUCCUCUCA